UACGUAGGGUGCGAGCGUUGUCCGGAAUUACUGGGCGUAAAGAGCUUGUAGGUGGUUUGUCGCGUUGUUCGUGAAAUCUCACGGCUUAACUGUGAGCGUCCGGGCGAUGCGGGCAGACUAGAGUACUGCAGGGGAGACUGGAAUUCCUGGUGUAGCGGUGGAAUGCGCAGAUAUCAGGAGGAACACCGGUGGCGAAGGCGGGUCUCUGGGCAGUAACUGACGCUGAGAAGCGAAAGCGUGGGGAGCGAACAGG
rnacentral:rRNA from 1 species